AAAGGAAUAGACGGGGGCCCGCACAAGCAGUGGAGCAUGUGGUUUAAUUCGAAGCAACGCGAAGAACCUUACCAGGGCUUGACAUCCCUCUGACAGGUGUAGAGAUACACCUUCCCUUCGGGGCAGAGGAGACAGGUGGUGCAUGGUUGUCGUCAGCUCGUGUCGUGAGAUGUUGGGUUAAGUCCCGCAACGAGCGCAACCCUUGUCGCUAGUUGCCAGCACGUAGAGGUGGGCACUCUAGCGAGACUGCCGGCGAGAAGUCGGAGGAAGGUGGGGACGACGUCAAAUCAUCAUGCCCCUUAUGUCCUGGGCUACACACGUGCUACAAUGGCGACUACAGAGGGAAGCAAAUCCGCGAGGAGGAGCAAAUCCCGAAAGGUCGUCCCAGUUCGGAUUGCAGGCUGCAACUCGCCUGCAUGAAGCCGGAAUUGCUAGUAAUGGCAGGUCAGCAUACUGCCGUGAAUACGUUCCCGGGCCUUGUACACACCGCCCGU
rnacentral:rRNA from 1 species